rnacentral:rRNA from 1 species
AGUCGAACGGUAACAGGGAUUGCUUGCAAUCCGCUGACGAGUGGCGCACGGGUGCGUAACGCGUAUACAAUCUGCCUUACACUGGGGGAUAGCCUUUAGAAAUGAAGAUUAAUACCCCAUGGUCUAUAGAAGUGGCAUCGCUUUUAUAGUAAAGGUUACGGUGUAAGAUGAGUAUGCGUCCUAUUAGUUUGUUGGUGUGGUAACGGCACACCAAGACUACGAUAGGUAGGGGCCCUGAGAGGGGGAUCCCCCACACUGGUACUGAGACACGGACCAGACUCCUACGGGAGGCAGCAGUGAGGAAUAUUGGACAAUGGGCGAGAGCCUGAUCCAGCCAUGCCGCGUGCAGGAAGACUGCCCUAUGGGUUGUAAACUGCUUUUAUACGGGAAGAAACACUCCUACGUGUAGGAAUUUGACGGUACCGUAAGAAUAAGCAUCGGCUAACUCCGUGCCAGCAGCCGCGGUAAUACGGAGGAUGCAAGCGUUAUCCGGAAUCAUUGGGUUUAAAGGGUCCGUAGGCGGGCAGUUAAGUCAGGGGUGAAAGUUUGCGGCUCAACCGUAAAAUUGCCUCUGAUACUGAUUGUCUUGAAUUAGUGUGAAGUGGUUAGAAUGAGUAGUGUAGCGGUGAAAUGCAUAGAUAUUACUCAGAAUACCGAUUGCGAAAGCAGAUCACUAACACUAUAUUGACGCUGAUGGGACGAAAGCGUGGGGAGCGAA